AUGAAACGUUAGAAUACAACAUUAUGAAAGUUACUCUGUGCGAUGCCAUUUCAGAACAGGCGAUUCCGGAGAAUCAAAUCUGUUAUCACAAGCUGAGGUAUCUACGUUUUCAGCCGUAACCCACUGGUGAUUUGGAUCAAAAAAUAAGGACAUAGGGUUUCCCAUACUCGCGUUUUCAACAUCAUUAUCUGAGGAAAAAGUGUCCGGAUGUAGAGAUUGGCAAGUACAAAGAGCCUGGUAACAUGAAUCAACAUCAGUAACAUAUAAUGUUAGUUCUAAAAAAUCAUCUGUGAAUUCAUUUUCAUCUUCGGUAGAAGGAGCUUCAUGCAAUGUUCCUGACGACCGUUCAAAUUUAAGAAUGUGAUCUAGCAAGGGUCGAAUGGCUUCACCCUCUAAUUGAACAUAUACAUAUGGCUUAUCCUUGCUUUGUUUCGCAUGAAGAGUAAUGGUUUCAUAUGGAAUUUUCCAGCCAGAAUUCUGUUCUUCAUCAAAAAGGAUAAAGCUCUGUGAAGUUACUAAUAAAGUUAUCAAUUUGCCCAAAGGAAAACUUUCCUCAUCACUUCUAAUUUUAUAGGGGACUGUUUUUUCUUCAAAAUAAACGAUUUCUUGAUUUGGCAACAACUUUUCACCAUUUUCAACUUUGCGAAUUAGGUCCUUUGGAAGUGAGUCAAUUUUGGUAAUCAUAAUUACUUCUUGCUUCCAAUAGGUAUUUAAGCAUAAAAAUUAUUAAAAAACAGUAAUAAGGCCACCUCUACCUGAUAAUUUAUUGAAAGAAAAGGUUUACUGUGCGUUGUAUUCUUUUGAAGUACUCAAAUACAAUAUCUUCGCAUAUUAAGCAUUUCGCAAAAUCGAAAAUAUAUUUCUACUCUUAACCACACGAAUUUUUUAUAAAUUGAACCAUUAUGCCAAACAGGAUAUCGAUUUUACUCAAAUACUUUUGAUAUGCAAUUUUCGUAAAUGACAAGCUAGUUAUUCAUUGCAAUUACAAAACAAACUCAUGAAUAUAAAUAGUUUUGUGGAAAAAAUAAAGGAAAGGUCUAAGGUCUUUAUGAAGUAAUCCUCGUUACCCAAAAAAUUGGGACUCAAAACUUUUGAAAUUGGAUUUUUUAUUUUAUAUAGUAAACAGAUUUAUAAGUGUAGCGAAAUAAAGCUAAGAAUUUUUUAGCAACCAAUUCAUUGCUAUAUAAGGUUAUACAUUGAUUUGGAUACAUGUAAUGAAUUAGCAUCAGUGGAUCGUUUCUCUCAUAAAGGUGGGUCUUUCUAAAGUAUACGAGAUUGACUUUCAAACACCAACUUUCCAAAUCAAACUUCGAAAGACUUUUUUAAAGCUAGUGACAAGGUUGGAGCAGA